CAAACCUCAAGCCUUGCUUGGUGAUGGGUCCCGCCCGCGUGGCGGGCCCGAAACUCGUGGGCGCCCCAGGCCGGACUCCAAGCGUAGCAAAACCCUCGCUUGCGGACGACCGGUCAGAGGCCGCCCCGGACCCCCAAAUUUUAUCAAU
rnacentral:misc_RNA from 1 species